rnacentral:rRNA from 1 species
CAGGCUUAACACAUGCGAGUCCAGCGGGGAAGGGUAGCUUGCUAUCUGACCUAGCGGCGGACGGGUGAGUAAUGCUUAGGAAUCUGCCUAUUAGUGGGGGACAACAUUCCGAAAGGAAUGCUAAUACCGCAUACGCCCUACGGGGGAAAGCAGGGGAUCUUCGGACCUUGCGCUAAUAGAUGAGCCUAAGUCAGAUUAGCUAGUUGGUGGGGUAAAGGCCUACCAAGGCGACGAUCUGUAGCGGGUCUGAGAGGAUGAUCCGCCACACUGGGACUGAGACACGGCCCAGACUCCUACGGGAGGCAGCAGUGGGGAAUAUUGGACAAUGGGCGAAAGCCUGAUCCAGCCAUGCCGCGUGUGUGAAGAAGGCCUUUUGGUUGUAAAGCACUUUAAGCGAGGAGGAGGCUACCGAGAUUAAUACUCUUGGAUAGUGGACGUUACUCGCAGAAUAAGCACCGGCUAACUCUGUGCCAACAGCCGCGGUAAUACAGAGGGUGCGAGCGUUAAUCGGAUUUACUGGGCGUAAAGCGUGCGUAGGCGGCUUUUUAAGUCGGAUGUGAAAUCCCUGAGCUUAACUUAGGAAUUGCAUUCGAUACUGGGAAGCUAGAGUAUGGGAGAGGAUGGUAGAAUUCCAGUGUAGCGGUGAAAUGCGUAGAGAUCUGGAGGAAUACCGAUGGCGAAGGCAGCCAUCUGGCCUAAUACUGACGCUGAGGUACGAAAGCAUGGGGAGCAAACAGGAUUAGAUACCCUGGUAGUCCAUGCCGUAAACGAUGUCUACUAGCCGUUGGGGCCUUUGAGGCUUUAGUGGCGCAGCUAACGCGAUAAGUAGACCGCCUGGGGAGUACG